CUACGGGCUGCUGCAGUCGAGAAUCUUCCGCAAUGGACGAAAGUCUGACGGAGCGACGCCGCGUGCGGGAUGAAGGCCUUCGGGUUGUAAACCGCUGUCAGUGGGGAGGAAAUGCAUCAGGGUUCUCCCUGGUGUUUGACCGAUCCGCAGAGGAAGCGCAGGCUAAGUUCGUGCCAGCAGCCGCGGUAACACGAACUGCGCGAACGUUAUUCGGAAUCACUGGGCUUAAAGAGGUCGUAGGCGGCCUUUCAAGUCGGGUGUGAAAUCCCUCGGCUCAACCGAGGAAUUGCGCCUGAUACUGUUGGGCUUGAGGGGGACAGGGGUGAGCGGAACUGAUGGUGGAGCGGUGAAAUGCGUUGAUAUCAUCAGGAACACCGGUGGCGAAGGCGGCUCACUGGAUCUCUUCUGACGCUGAGGAACGAAAGCUAGGGGAGCGAGCGGGAUUAGAUACCCGUGUAGUC
rnacentral:rRNA from 1 species